UAAGCAUAUCAAUAAGCGGAGGAAAAGAAACCAACAGGGAUUGCCUUAGUAACGGCGAGUGAAGCGGCAACAGCUCAAAUUUGAAAUCUGGCCCCAGGCCCGAGUUGUAAUUUGCAGAGGAUGCUUUUGGCGCGGUGCCUUCCGAGUUCCCUGGAACGGGACGCCAUAGAGGGUGAGAGCCCCGUCUGGUUGGAUACCAAGCCUUUGUAAAGCUCCUUCGACGAGUCGAGUAGUUUGGGAAUGCUGCUCUAAAUGGGAGGUAUAUGUCUUCUAAAGCUAAAUACCGGCCAGAGACCGAUAGCGCACAAGUAGAGUGAUCGAAAGAUGAAAAGCACUUUGGAAAGAGAGUUAAACAGCACGUGAAAUUGUUAAAAGGGAAGCGUUUAUGACCAGACUUGGGCCGGUUAAUCAUCCAGCGUUCUCGCUGGUGCACUUUGCCGGUCCAGGCCAGCAUCAGUUCGCUGCGGGGGAUAAAGGCGUCGGGAAUGUGGCUCCUCCGGAGUGUUAUAGCCCUUCGCGCAAUACCCUGCGGUGGACUGAGGUUCGCGCAUCUGCAAGGAUGCUGGCGUAAUGGUCAUCAACGACCCGUCUUGAAACACGGACCAAGGAGUCGUCUUCGUAUGCGAGUGUUCGGGUGUAAAACCCCUACGCGUAAUGAAAGUGAACGCAGGUGAGAGCUUCGGCGCAUCAUCGACCGAUCCUGAUGUUCUCGGAUGGAUUUGAGUAAGAGCAUACGGGGCCGGACCCGAAAGAAGGUGAACUAUGCCUGUAUAGGGUGAAGCCAGAGGAAACUCUGGUGGAGGCUCGCAGCGGUUCUGACGUGCAAAUCGAUCGUCAAAUAUGGGCAUGGGGGCGAAAGACUAAUCGACC
rnacentral:rRNA from 1 species